rnacentral:rRNA from 1 species
UAGGGAAUCUUCGGCAAUGGACGAAAGUCUGACCGAGCAACGCCGCGUGAGUGAAGAAGGUUUUCGGAUCGUAAAACUCUGUUGUUAGAGAAGAACAAGGACGUUAGUAACUGAACGUCCCCUGACGGUAUCUAACCAGAAAGCCACGGCUAACUACGUGCCAGCAGCCGCGGUAAGACGUAGGUGGCAAGCGUUGUCCGGAUUUAUUGGGCGUAAAGCGAGCGCAGGCGGUUUCUUAAGUCUGAUGUGAAAGCCCCCGGCUCAACCGGGGAGGGUCAUUGGAAACUGGGAGACUUGAGUGCAGAAGAGGAGAGUGGAAUUCCAUGUGUAGCGGUGAAAUGCGUAGAUAUAUGGAGGAACACCAGUGGCGAAGGCGGCGCUCUGGUCUGUAACUGACGCUGAGGCUCGAAAGCGUGGGGAGCAAAAAGG